AGAGUUUGAUCCUGGCUCAGAUUGAACGCUGGCGGCAUGCCUUACACAUGCAAGUCGAACGGCAGCACGGGUACUUGUACCUGGUGGCGAGUGGCGAACGGGUGAGUAAUACAUCGGAACGUACCUUAUCGUGGGGGAUAACGCAGCGAAAGCUGUGCUAAUACCGCAUACGCCCUGAGGGGGAAAGCGGGGGAUCGAAAGACCUCGCGCGAUUAGAGCGGCCGAUGCCUGAUUAGCUUGUUGGUGGGGUAAAAGCCCACCAAGGCGACGAUCAGUAGCUGGUCUGAGAGGACGAUCAGCCACACUGGGACUGAGACACGGCCCAGGCUCCUACGGGAGGCAGCAGUGGGGAAUUUUGGACAAUGGGGGAAACCCUGAUCCAGCAAUGCUGCGUGAGUGAAGAAGGCCUUCGGGUUGUAAAGCUCUUUUGUCAGGGAAGAAACACCGGCUCUAACACAGUCCGGGAAUGACGGUACCUGAAGAAUAAGCACCGGCUAACUACGUGCCAGCAGCCGCGGUAAUACGUAGGGUGCAAGCGUUAAUCGGAAUUACUGGGCGUAAAGCGUGCGCAGGCGGUUAUACAAGACAGGCGUGAAAUCCCCGGGCUUAACCUGGGAAUGGCGCCUGUGACUGUAUAGCUAGAGUGUGUCAGAGGGGGGUAGAAUUCCACGUGUAGCAGUGAAAUGCGUAGAUAUGUGGAGGAAUACCAAUGGCGAAGGCAGCCCCCUGGGAUUACACUGACGCUCAUGCACGAAAGCGUGGGGAGCAAACAGGAUUAGAUACCCUGGUAGUCCACGCCCUAAACGAUGCUGACUAGUUGUUCGGGAU
rnacentral:rRNA from 1 species